rnacentral:rRNA from 1 species
AACGAACGCUGGCGGCAUGCCUAACACAUGCAAGUCGAACGAAGGCUUCGGCCUUAGUGGCGCACGGGUGCGUAACGCGUGGGAAUCUGCCCUUUGGUUCGGAAUAACAGCUGGAAACGGCUGCUAAUACCGGAUGAUGACGAAAGUCCAAAGAUUUAUCGCCAGAGGAUGAGCCCGCGUUGGAUUGGGUAGUUGGUGGGGUAAAGGCCUACCAAGCCGACGAUCCAUAGCUGGUCUGAGAGGAUGAUCAGCCACACUGGGACUGAGACACGGCCCAGACUCCCACGGGAGGCAGCAGUGGGGAAUAUUGGACAAUGGGCGCAAGCCUGAUCCAGCAAUGCCGCGUGAGUGAUGAAGGCCCUAGGGUUGUAAAGCUCUUUUACCCGGGAAGAUAAUGACUGUACCGGGAGAAUAAGCCCCGGCUAACUCCGUG